GCCUUCAUCGUGUAACGGUAGUACACUCGACUCCUAUUCAAGAGGUCUGGGUUCGCGUCCCGGCGAAGGCA
rnacentral:tRNA from 1 species